AAUUUGGGAAAAGGGGGGCAACCCUGAUCCAGCCAUCCCGCGUGUGCGAUGAAGGCCAUAGGGUUGUAAAGCACUUUUGGCAGAGAAGAAAAGGCUCUGGCUAAUACCUGGAGCUGCUGACGGUACCUGCAGACGAAGCACCGGCUAACUACGUUCCAGCAGCCGCGGUAAUACGUAGGGUGCAAGCGUUAAUCGGAAUUACUGGGCGUAAAGCGUGCGCAGGCGGUUCGGCAAGAAGGAUGUGAAAUCCCAGGGCUUAACCUUGGAACUGCAUUCUUAACUGCCGGGCUAGAGUAUGUCAGAGGGGGGUAGAAUUCCGCGUGUAGCAGUGAAAUGCGUAGAGAUGCGGAGGAAUACCGAUGGCGAAGGCAGCCCCCUGGGAUAAUACUGACGCUCAUGCACGAAAGCGUAGGGAGCAAAC
rnacentral:rRNA from 1 species